rnacentral:rRNA from 1 species
GGCCUAACACAUGCAAGUCGAGCGGCAGCACAAGGUGAGUUUACUCACUGAGGUGGCGAGCGGCGGACGGGUGAGUAAUGCCUAGGGAUCUGCCCAGUCGAGGGGGAUAACAGUUGGAAACGACUGCUAAUACCGCAUACGCCCUACGGGGGAAAGAGGGGGACCUUCGGGCCUCUCGCGAUUGGAUGAACCUAGGUGGGAUUAGCUAGUUGGUGAGGUAAUGGCUCACCAAGGCGACGAUCCCUAGCUGUUCUGAGAGGAUGAUCAGCCACACUGGGACUGAGACACGGCCCAGACUCCUACGGGAGGCAGCAGUGGGGAAUAUUGCACAAUGGGGGAAACCCUGAUGCAGCCAUGCCGCGUGUGUGAAGAAGGCCUUCGGGUUGUAAAGCACUUUCAGUAGGGAGGAAAGGGUGAGUCUUAAUACGGCUCAUCUGUGACGUUACCUACAGAAGAAGGACCGGCUAACUCCGUGCCAGCAGCCGCGGUAAUACGGAGGGUCCGAGCGUUAAUCGGAAUUACUGGGCGUAAAGCGUGCGCAGGCGGUUUGUUAAGCGAGAUGUGAAAGCCCUGGGCUCAACCUAGGAAUAGCAUUUCGAACUGGCGAACUAGAGUCUUGUAGAGGGGGGUAGA